rnacentral:rRNA from 1 species
CUGUUGUUAAAGAAGAACACGUAUGAGAGUAACUGUUCAUACGUUGACGGUAUUUAACCAGAAAGUCACGGCUAACUACGUGCCAGCAGCCGCGGUAAUACGUAGGUGGCAAGCGUUAUCCGGAUUUAUUGGGCGUAAAGAGAGUGCAGGCGGUUUUCUAAGUCUGAUGUGAAAGCCUUCGGCUUAACCGGAGAAGUGCAUCGGAAACUGGAUAACUUGAGUGCAGAAGAGGGUAGUGGAACUCCAUGUGUAGCGGUGGAAUGCGUAGAUAUAUGGAAGAACACCAGUGGCGAAGGCGGCUACCUGGUCUGCAACUGACGCUGAGACUCGAAAGCAUGGGUAGCGAACAGGAUUAGAUACCCUGGUAG